UACGUAGGGGCCUAGCGUUGUCCGGAUUUAUUGGGCGUAAAGAGCUCGUAGGCGGUUCGGUAAGUCAGGUGUGAAAUCUCCACGCUCAACGUGGAGGCGCCACCUGAAACUGCCGUGACUAGAGUCCGGUAGGGGAGUGUGGAAUUCCCGGUGUAGCGGUGAAAUGCGCAGAUAUCAGGAGGAACACCGGUGGCGAAGGCGGAUCUCUGGGCCUUACCUGACGCUGAGGCGCGAAAGCUAGGGGAGCGAACAGG
rnacentral:rRNA from 1 species